rnacentral:rRNA from 1 species
AUUGAACGCUGGCGGCAUGCCUUACACAUGCAAGUCGAACGGCAGCACGGGGGCAACCCUGGUGGCGAGUGGCGAACGGGUGAGUAACAUAUCGGAACGUGCCCUGGAGUGGGGGAUAACUAGUCGAAAGAUUAGCUAAUACCGCAUACGAUCUACGGAUGAAAGUGGGGGACCGCAAGGCCUCAUGCUCGUGGAGCGGCCGAUAUCUGAUUAGCUAGUUGGUGGGGUAAAGGCCUACCAAGGCAUCGAUCAGUAGCUGGUCUGAGAGGACGACCAGCCACACUGGGACUGAGACACGGCCCAGACUCCUACGGGAGGCAGCAGUGGGGAAUUUUGGACAAUGGGCGCAAGCCUGAUCCAGCAAUGCCGCGUGAGUGAAGAAGGCUUCGGGUUGUAAAGCUCUUUUGUCAGGGAAGAAACGGCGGAGUCUAAUACUUUCUGCUAAUGACGGUACCUGAAGAAUAAGCACCGGCUAACUACGUGC